rnacentral:rRNA from 1 species
CCCUUAGAUGUCCGGGGCUGCACGCGCGCUACACUGAAGGAAUCAGCGUGCUAAAACCAUUGUCGAAAGGCAUUGGUAAACCCAUUAAAAUCCUACGUGAUUGGGAUCGGGAAUUGCAAUUAUUUCCCUUGAACGAGGAAUUCCCAGUAAGUGUGGGUCAUAAGCUCGCGUUGAUUACGUCCCUGCCCUUUGUACACACCGCCCGUCGCUGCCCGGGACUGAGCCGUUUCGAGAAAAGCGGGGACUGCUGCUGUCGGGGCUUUCGGGCCUUGGCUUCGGUGGAAACCGCUUUAAUCGCANUNGCUUGANACGGGCAAAANUCGUANCA